GCCUAGCUGGCUCAGUGGGUGGAGCAUGUGACUCGAUCUUGGGGCUGUAGGUUCAAGCCCCACGUUGGGUG
rnacentral:tRNA from 1 species